rnacentral:rRNA from 1 species
CCAGCAGCUGCGGUAAUUCCAGCUCCAAUAGCGUAUACUAAAGUUGUUGCAGUUAAAAAGCUCGUAGUUGAAUUUCUGGUUUCGGAACGCGGUCGGCUCCAAGGAGUUUGUACCAGCGGAUCGGAGCCAUCCUCGGGGAGAACAUAUCUGCCAUUAAUUUGGUGGGUAUGGGACCCUCGUCAUUUACUGUGAGCAAAAUAGAGUGUUCAAAGCAGGCUUACGCCGUUGAAUACAUUAGCAUGGAAUAAUAAGAUAGGACCUUGGUCUAUUUUGUUGGUUUGUACUCCAAGGUAAUGAUUAAUAGGGAUAGUUGGGGGUAUUCGUAUUCAAUGGUCAGAGGUGAAAUUCUUGGAUUUAUUGAAGACGAACUACUGCGAAAGCAUUUACCAAGGAUGUUUUCA